rnacentral:tRNA from 1 species
UGGCUCAGAGGUUAAAGCACCUGCCUCCAAGGUGGGAGACCCAGGUUCGAUCCCUGG